AUGUGUUUUUCAUGCAUUAUAGCGCCACCUUGUGGUGGAAGUGGUUCAAUUGUUACGCCUGAGGUCCUUGCGGAGUUUCGGACCAGUCCUGAAAAUGGCAACCCCCCCACCAUGUACGGUUUAGGCUGUAGUCGGAGUUUUAGGCGGAGAAGAAAAAUAAUGGAUGAUGAUGAUGAUGAUGAUGAUGAUUAAUCCUUACAAAAACAAUAGGGUUCCACAGCCCUGCUGUGCGAACGGCGUAGCUCUUGCUACCGCCGGUUCUUCCAGACUCGGGCUUGGACCCCUAAUUAG